AACGUCUUCCCCUCAAAUUUCAUUUUGGUCACCUCAUUCCUGAAAGGAGAGAACGUGCAUGUUCCGGGCUGCCUCGGCCAUCACCCCAGCAGAUCACCGCUAACGCACGGCCCCCACGCAGCGGAACCGGAUCGGAACAACAAACCCGAAAGGAGUGAAGGCCAAAAACGCCGCGUUGCCUGACACGUCCUGGAAGACAGUAACGGCUUCUCAUCACAAUGUUGCAGAGCUAGCAAAGCCUACGAGUCAAUAGCAAUCCUCAGCCCUAAAUUAGGUGGCAUUAAUGACUCCUCGGUUUUAGUUUUGCCAGCAGAACAGUUCUUGACAGUUUUAUUUAGACCGUGGUAUCUUGCAUAUAUUUUGGGAUCUGCAGCAGCAUAAAAGAAUAGGCUGGUCCAGCAGAAUUAAUGAGGAAAAAAUGCAGCGUAACUCCCGGCUCCAGCAGUCUUAUCGAUUUACUAGUAAGUAACAAACUGAAGACAGUGCCCUGCAUACCACCAAUUCUUUCACUAAUAAGUAAACUGCAAAACAGUAAAAACCUGUUAAACUUUCGACUCCCUCAGAUCUCUGCACGGCAUUUAUAGCCAGUGCAGCUGGCCAGCGUCAAGACAGUUUAAAACCAGCAAUUAGCGUCAUGUACAGAGCAAGUCAGCAGCUUAAUUUAAUCAUAACAUCUAGACUCUGGGGAAGGUAUCGCUAACUGUUUGGGUGCUCAUGCAAAAAACAGAUAUACACUGAAUUUCAACAGUAUUACGGAGCAAUUGGGGCUGCUCAGUAGUUGCUCAGAUUCACUCUGGUUUUUGCUUAGACACUAGAUGUUUGACCCACACUCUGACUUCCCUAGAAGGAUGCUGAGCCGAACGAAAUCUGCACGUCAUGGGUCAGCACAAGACACGGUAUUUCUGGCGCAUUUGGCAAAAAAGCAGACAAAGAAUUUUACAGCUGAUGUUACCACAGCUUGUGUUUUGCUUGGUGCCUGCACUCCUCUAGCCCGGGUCAUGCGAGUUGCUUGUGAAUUACAUCUAAAACAACAGCGGCUUGGUGCAAGUGGAAACUUAGAAAGUCUUAGAAGCCUACUAAAACGAUGGCAUAGAAACAAGGUCAAUUCUUUCACGUUAAAUUACUUUCUACUAUGGAGCUACAGCCACCAUCUGUCAUGUCUCCCACAGCAAAGCCCCAUUUCAGACCACAGAAAGUCGUGGAUUUCCUUCCUCUCUCCGUUCAGGGUUACAGCUCUCCCACUCGGCUUCCUCCGAUGCAGCAUCCACUGAUCUAACCCGGAGGCAGGAGACUUUUGCUUUGAUUUUCGAUUUCCGCACGCGUAGCCCAGUGCUCCGGGUCUUCGUCUCCAGGCUCGCUACACAGAGGCAGCUACCUGAACGUACAUGUCAAGCUGCGCAGGCAGCUAGUUUUCCUGAUUAGAUCUUCAGAAUUUGAGUAGUGAGCAAAUUGGUUUUAAAUCCAGAUUAGAUCAAAAUCCAUCUUAAUCUGUCAAGAGUAACCGGCCAAAAGCAAAGAGCCCUGGACCUCAAUCCAAUAUCCUGUAUAAAACAAGACAUAAAUCCCCAAACUAAUCAUGCCUGAGAUGCAACAGACAUGUCUUGAGGAAGAAGAAAGAUCUCCAUGUGUCUUUGCAGAAAGCAGGUUACUGUUUUCAGCAGUGGCAGCACCGCUGUCUACGCUGCACAGCAAAGGCGACGAGCAGACCACAGUCACCGUCGCAGCUCGAGACCUGGCCGGCCAAAGCGCUUUUCUCCACGCCGCUCCUUCCCAAGGCUGCAGGCUGGUCGCGCGGCUCCGCGUGCCUCCGGGACGGGGAGCCGGCCCCGACCUCCCCUGCUGCAGAGACACCGCCCUGCAGAGCCGCUCGAGGGCCUCGACCGCGGUGGAACGAUCGAGACCGAAACACGACGACUGUACAAAAAAUUUGAUAAACUAAAAAAAGAGGGGGGGGGGGAAGCUAAACAUAGAAGUCACUGAAAGGAAAUGGUCUGCAUUAACAAGAAUUCAGUCCAGCAUUUUUGAAAUGUUUUAAAUAUUAAAUACACUAUCUGUGCGUUA